rnacentral:rRNA from 1 species
AUUGAACGCUGGCGGCAGGCCUAACACAUGCAAGUCGAGCGGUAGCACAGAGAGCUUGCUCUCGGGUGACGAGCGGCGGACGGGUGAGUAAUGUCUGGGAAACUGCCUGAUGGAGGGGGAUAACUACUGGAAACGGUAGCUAAUACCGCAUAACGUCGCAAGACCAAAGUGGGGGACCUUCGGGCCUCAUGCCAUCAGAUGUGCCCAGAUGGGAUUAGCUAGUAGGUGGGGUAACGGCUCACCUAGGCGACGAUCCCUAGCUGGUCUGAGAGGAUGACCAGCCACACUGGAACUGAGACACGGUCCAGACUCCUACGGGAGGCAGCAGUGGGGAAUAUUGCACAAUGGGCGCAAGCCUGAUGCAGCCAUGCCGCGUGUGUGAAGAAGGCCUUCGGGUUGUAAAGCACUUUCAGCGGGGAAGAAGGCGGUGAGGUUAAUAACCUUGUCGAUUGACGUUACCCGCAGAAGAAGCACCGGCUAACUCCGUGCCAGCAGCCGCGGUAAUACGGAGGGUGCAAGCGUUAAUCGGAAUUACUGGGCGUAAAGCGCACGCAGGCGGUCUGUCAAGUCGGAUGUGAAAUCCCCGGGCUCAACCUGGGAACUGCAUUCGAAACUGGCAGGCUAGAGUCUUGUAGAGGGGGGUAGAAUUCCAGGUGUAGCGGUGAAAUGCGUAGAGAUCUGGAGGAAUACCGGUGGCGAAGGCGGCCCCCUGGACAAAGACUGACGCUCAGGUGCGAAAGCGUGGGGAGCAAACAGGAUUAGAUACCCUGGUAGUCCACGCCGUAAACGAUGUCGAUUUGGAGGUUGUGCCCUUGAGGCGUGGCUUCCGGAGCUAACGCGUUAAAUCGACCGCCUGGGGAGUACGGCCGCAAGGUUAAAACUCAAAUGAAUUGACGGGGGCCCGCACAAGCGGUGGAGCAUGUGGUUUAAUUCGAUGCAACGCGAAGAACCCUACCUGGUCUUGACAUCCACAGAACUUUCCAGAGAUGGAUUGGUGCCUUCGGGAACUGUGAGACAGGUGCUGCAUGGCUGUCGUCAGCUCGUGUUGUGAAAUGUUGGGUUAAGUCCCGCAACGAGCGCAACCCUUAUCCUUUGUUGCCAGCGGUUAGGCCGGGAACUCAAAGGAGACUGCCAGUGAUAAACUGGAGGAAGGUGGGGAUGACGUCAAGUCAUCAUGGCCCUUACGACCAGGGCUACACACGUGCUACAAUGGCAUAUACAAAGAGAAGCGACCUCGCGAGAGCAAGCGGACCUCAUAAAGUAUGUCGUAGUCCGGAUUGGAGUCUGCAACUCGACUCCAUGAAGUCGGAAUCGCUAGUAAUCGUAGAUCAGAAUGCUACGGUGAAUACGUUCCCGGGCCU